rnacentral:tRNA from 1 species
GUGAAGCUAGCUUAAAAGGAAAAGCACCAGACAGUGAAUCUGGAAGAUAGAGUUCGAAUCUCUGCUUCACC